GACGAACGCUGGCGGCGUGCUUAACACAUGCAAGUCGAACGGAAAGGCCUUUUCGGAGGUACUCGAGUGGCGAACGGGUGAGUAACACGUGGGUGAUCUGCCCUGCACUCUGGGAUAAGCCUGGGAAACUGGGUCUAAUACCGGAUAGGACCGCACUUUAGUGUGUGUGGUGGAAAGUUGUUUCGGUGUAGGAUGAGCCCGCGGCCUAUCAGCUUGUUGGUGGGGUAAUGGCCUACCAAGGCGGCGACGGGUAGCCGGACUGAGAGGUUGGUCGGCCACAUUGGGACUGAGAGACGGCCCAGACUCCUACGGGAGGCAGCAGUGGGGAAUAUUGCACAAUGGGCGCAAGCCUGAUGCAGCGACGCCGCGUGGGGGAUGACGGCCUUCGGGUUGUAAACGCCUUUCGCCAGGGACGAAGCGUUUUGUGACGGUACCUGGAGAAGAAGCACCGGCUAACUACGUG
rnacentral:rRNA from 1 species